GGGAUGUUGUUAUGCACUGGAUUUAUAGCGAGGUUUGGUUAACCACCAAACCUUUU
rnacentral:ncRNA from 14 species